rnacentral:lncRNA from 1 species
AUUUUUAUGCCCCACCUACGAUAGUAGAGGGGCAUUAUGUUUUCUGGUCUGUGCUUCCGUCCGUCUGUCCGUUCGUUCGUCCGUCCGUCUGUCCCGCUUCAGGUUAAAGUUUUUGGUCAAGGUAGUUUUUGAUGAAGUUUAAGUCUAAUCGACUUCAAACUUAGUACACAUGUCCCUAUGAUAUGAUCUUUCUAAUUUUAAUGCCAAAUUAGAGUUUUUACCCCAAUUUCACGGUCCACUGAACAUGGAAAAUGAUAGUGCGAGUGGG